UACGGAGGAUCCAAGCGUUAUCCGGACUUAUUGGGUUUAAAGGGUGCGCAGGCGGGAUGUUAAGUCGGCGGUGAAAUUUUGCAGCUCAACUGUAAAAGUGCCUUCGAUACUGGCUUUCUUGAGUGUGGAUGAAGUAGGCGGAAUUUGUGGUGUAGCGGUGAAAUGCUUAGAUAUCACGUGGAACUCCGAUUGCGCAGGCAGCUUACUAAACCACUACUGACGCUCAUGCACGAAGGCGUGGGGAUCAAACAGGAUUAGAUA
rnacentral:rRNA from 1 species